AGCUUUUCACACUUUUAAUGUGUGGAAGAAAGUAAGAUGUGCACACGGUUUUAAAAAAGAAAAAAAAUCCAAACAGUAGAGAGUGGGAGUUCUCUUGUGGUGCAGGGAGUUAAGGAUCCAACGAACUCCCCUUAAGUUUUAAUCUAUAUUAUUUAAGGGGUUAUUUGCUGUUGUUGUUUCUUCCUGUUUAUUUUGGCCUCUGCCUUUCAUGUUAGAAAGUUUCAUCAAAUCCUUUGUCUUAUGUCUGCUCAUUUUUAAGGGUGAGGGGCUAAGAGGGUGAUUAGAUCUAUGGACACAGUUGGGACUUAUCAACUAUAGGUUUCACUAUGGGGCAAACCGGCUAACUGCCUGGAGAACCGCUGACGUUACGCUUGGGUCUUUUCUCUGAAUAGUCAAAUUCUCCCGAUGAGAGUCUUCUAGUCUCUUACAUAGAAGGUAUAAGUCUGGUUUCCAGAGUUCUAGAAACUACCACUAGUUAAACUUUCACUUAAUCUCUGUUUUCAACACACUCGGGCCCAGGUGCCCUCCAUGCCAAAGACUCUCUGUCUUCCAACUCCAACAAAGAAACUUCCAGCAAUCUGAUGAGUAGUGUCCAAGAUAUAUGAAGUAAAGGAGGGGAUGGGGGGGGGGCGUCUAACUACUUCAAAUUAUCCUCCUAAUUUUAAUACUACCUACAGCCCAGAUAUACUGCUGUGUGCCACCGAUUUAAGGGUACAUCAGGCUGGUUCUAAGCUUUCUUCACUGCUGGCUUAGUUACCACUUCACUGACAAGUCAGUUACCAUGUACCCUUCUGCCUUCCGAUUUCUAUCUAAAGCUUUGCUAUUAACUCCUCUCUCUUUCUCCUGGACCCCUUUAUAAAAUCCCCUUAUUGCUAUUUUAUUAGGAUUUAAGAAAGAAGUGAAGUUUAACUGAAAGUCUCCCAUUCGUUUGCUCACCCUGUGCAAACUGGCUUCAUUCUCAAUUUUCCAUAAACUUUCGAGAUUGAUCUUUCUUAAAAGGUAAAGCUGGUCAGAGCACCCUUCUUGAAAAUCCUUCAAAGGCUCCAAAUGCCUUCAAAAUAAAGUCAGGAUUCCUUAGCCUGCAAGCUGUUUCCCGAUGUGGCUCCCCAGCCCAGUCUCCCCAUCACACCUCCCCACCACCACACUCAUUCACCCUAAACUGAACGCCCUACUUAAUGUUCCAGCCCCCUUCACAGCACCUCGCGCUUGCCUGGGCUUUUCCGUCAUCCACUUCAACCUCUCACGCACCGGUUAAGCCUUAAGACUCCGUAAAAGCAGCAUUUCCUUCCAGAAUCCUUUCUCUGUAUUCCUAGAGAUACACCCUUGGGCGUAUCUCUAAUAAAACACCUAUCCCACUGUCAC
rnacentral:lncRNA from 1 species